rnacentral:rRNA from 1 species
UACAGAGGUCUCAAGCGUUGUUCGGAUUCAUUGGGCGUAAAGGGUGCGUAGGCGGCGCGGUAAGUCGGGUGUGAAAUCUCUGGGCUCAACCCAGAGUCUGCUUCCGAAACUGCUGUGCUUGAGUGUGGGAGAGGCGCGUGGAAUUGCAGGUGUAGCGGUGAAAUGCGUAGAUAUCUGCAGGAACACCCGUGGCGAAAGCGGCGCGCUGGACCACUACUGACGCUGAGGAACGAAAGCUAGGGGAGCAAACAGG